rnacentral:rRNA from 1 species
UGGGGAAUUUUCCGCAAUGGGCGAAAGCCUGACGGAGCAACGCCGCGUGGAUGAUGAAGUCUUUCGGGACGUAAAAUCCUUUCAGCAGGGACGAAGCGAGUGACGGUACCUGCAGAAGAAGCAUCGGCUAACUACGUGCCAGCAGCCGCGGUAAUACGUAGGAUGCGAGCGUUGUCCGGAAUUAUUGGGCGUAAAGAGAACGUAGGCGGUUUCUUAAGUUUGGGCUUAAAGACUGGGGCUCAACCCCAGGAGUGGCUCGAAAACUGACAGACUAGAGGAUGGCAGAGGAAAGUGGAAUUCCCAGUGUAGCGGUGAAAUGCGUAGAUAUUGGGAGGAACACCAGUGGCGAAAGCGACUUUCUGGGCCAUUCCUGACGCUGAGGUUCGAAAGCUCGGGGAGCAAACAG